rnacentral:lncRNA from 1 species
AUGGCAACACCGGAGUUUAUUAGAAGCUCGUGAUGAAAUACGUCUCCUCAGAUCUGAAAUCAGCAGUCUACAAACUACUAUUACAAACCACACAAACCACCCCCAACAUACGGAUGUAGAAAUCGUGUCAAACACACUCCAUCCUGAAGUGGUCAAACCUCAUAUUCAUUGUGACCACGGCGAUUCCCUCCUACGCUAUUUUAUUUUUAUUUUUAUGACUUGUUUCUUCGUGCUCGUUAUUGCUGUAAUCGUUACCAGCCUAAAACAUUAGUUUUAUAAAAAUCUUUGGAGUUGAAUUAUAUUAUCUUAACUGUGGCACUGCAAUGUAAUAUGAGAAAAUUUAUGUUACUGGUAGAACGUUUGAAACCGGAUAGAAA